rnacentral:snoRNA from 1 species
UCCGUGAUGAUUUGCGGACUGUUGGCUCUAGUUUCGAUCUGUCAUGAAACCACCUGCUGGCUGAC